GUGUGCUCGGCCUCGCAGGUGCGGGUGCUCUGCCGCCCGGCUCGCACGGGUGCCUCUCUCGGUAGUUGGACAUACGUGUAUGAAUAUAUGCCUAUGUGUACAUGUAUAUAUAUAUAUGGUGCUUCUGAGGGAGGAUUGGUUUGUUUCCGUUAAGGCUCCUCUGGUUUGGUCAUAUCCCGGAAAGCUUGGGAUGCUCUCGGGAAUGCACCAGCGUCGCUCCAGCAGUGCCCGCAGUGUGGGGACUUCGAGUAAGGUGUUCAGUUGAAUUUCACGCACAGUGAGUGACCUCACAGAAAAUACGGAGAGGCUUUUGCUGCUUUAUUUGUAAUAACAAAUUUUUUCUUUGUAAAAACAAAAGCACUCCUGAAACCUAAAGCCUUUGCCGCUCCUUCUCUGUCUCAGAGGUGUAGAGAAGACUGGAUCCUGAAAAUUACUUGGAAGAGAUUCUAAACUCUGAGUGGGGGAAGAAAAAUACUCUGUAUGCUGUGUGUCAUGAGAUAAGGAAACUUCUCAGUUUUCUUGUCCCGGGCCGAUAGAGUGGUCUCGCUGUUGCUAACAAUUGAAGCUGCAAAGCUCACGCUCCUUUAAUGUCUGUGGCGCUAUUGCCUGAGUCAAGACUGCAGGAUUCAUCCUACCUUGUACUGCUUCUUAGAAGCACUCAUCUCUUACUGCACAAAUGCACGCUACUCGAAGUGUAGAGGGAAUGUGAGAGGCCUGUAGAGGUUUCUAACUGGAGUUUGUCAAUGCCGAGACAGCUGAGGAUUGCUGGUUCCUGUAUCAACACAUUGGUGAGGAACGUGGAUUUUCUCUGCUCUUCAAACUGAUCUGCAGCAUGCUGCAGGAGACAUCCAGGAUGAACUUCUGUCUGUUCCAGCAGUUUUUACCAGUAGCACCGGAGUACAACUCGACUGUUGCUGAAAGCAGUGGAUUAGUACUUGCUGUCUCUCCUACAAAUCCAAAGAGAACAUAUGGGUUAUCAGGAAAUGGAUGCAUCAGUACCCUCCAGAGGCAGAGUUCAGUUGGGGAAAACUCUGAGAUAUGGAGAACAGGUAUCAAUGAACAUAAACAAUACUGCUGUGAAAAGAGGGAGUUGGGACUACUCAAGGCUCACGUGAAUUCCUACAGGAGAGGUUAGCUUCUGUGGCAUCUGUUACAGGAGUGAAACUAUGAAUUUCAUACAUCACUUCCAGCAUCUGGGCUUCAUGUAGAUGUGUGACAUCUGAGCUAGAAAGAUGGAAAGAAGAGCUCUGUUCCUUCCUGUGACAGUAAAAGAACUUCCUGGUGUCUGGAUUUGUUCCACGAUGGUCUGCCAGAGAAAUUUGUCUGUCUUUUCAAAAUUGAGUGGUGCAAAAAAGAAGCCAUUACAGAUCCUGGUAACUGAAGCAGUGCAAACCCAUGGACUGUCCUUUGCUGCAUGUUUAGAGUGUGAACUUCCAGUCCAUCUGCCCAUUCAGUCACCUGCAAACCCACCAGGGACACAGCUGGUACAAACAAAAGCUAAGCAUGGGGCCUGAAAAAAAAUUUUGAGGAUGAAAAAUGGGUGCUGUACUUCAGAAAUUGGGUGUUUUCUUGAAUUGAUUACAACCUGGUGGAGCUGCUGGAAAUGAGCUUCUGCUACUAUUGGCACUGUCUACUGAAGCAGAACAGGAAAACCCAGAGUCUGCAAAGGUA